rnacentral:misc_RNA from 1 species
UCGGUGGGGUAACCUUUUAGGAGCCAGCCGCCUAAGGUGGGACAGAUGAUUAGGGUGAAGUCGUAACAAGGUAGCCGUAGGAGAACCUGCGGCUGGAUCACCUCCUUUCUAAGGAAUUAAUCGGAAACCUACACAUUGUCGAAACUUUGUUUAGUUUUGAGA